GGCCGACUAGCUCAGUUGGUUAGAGCGUGGUGCUAAUAAUGGCCUGAGCGGGGCCCAUUUGGCAAUGCCGAUGGGUUCCCCGGCUAUUUGUAACGCCAAGGUCGUCGGUUCGAUCCCGGCGUUGGCCA